AUAUAUAUAUAUAUAUAUAUAUAUAUAUAGUGAACUGCAUAAGGUUGAAAACGUCAGUUGGAGCCAUGUGGUAGUGUCCUUAUGGACACCUGCAUACUUUAAUUGUAUUGUCACUAGUCCAGAUGUGUCAAGGUUGCCAGAAAUGUCUGGAUGUCAGUAGUGUCAGAGGGUUUAAGAUGUGUCAAGGUUGCCAGAUAUAUUAGGGGGUGCCAGAGAUGCCAAGAUUACCAAAGAUGCCAGGUGUGUGUGUGUGUGUCGUGAGUUUUUGGGCCAGAUACGCUGAAUAUAUCAAGAAUUUUAUCACAGGUGUGCAACAGGUGUCAGGAGUCGCCAGGCUGACACACACAUCAAUCAAGAUACCUUAACUUGCAUAAGUUUGUUUACCUUCUUGUUUACUGUGUACAAUCCCUUAUGCAUUGUACUUUCUGAUUGUGAUAUACAUAUAUAUAUAUAUAUAUAUAUAUAUAUAUAUAUAUAUAUAUAUAUAUAUAUAUAUAUAUAUAUAUAUAUAUAUAUAUAUAUAUGACAUUGGCUGUGUUUCUCUGGCUGUGUCAGCUGUUUCACCAAAUAUCUGCUAUUUAGGAACUUUAUCGGUUUGGCCAAUGAGUUCUCUGUUUGGCCAUAUUCAUAUAAUUAGAGGCUGUUAUACAUAGGUUGUAUCACUGGCGAUUGACAUUAUAUAUAUAUAUAUAUAUAUAUAUAUAUAUAUAUAUAUAUAUAUAUAUAUAAUUAUCUGUAAAUAUUAGCUUCCUCGCCAGAGAUAAAUGUGUUAUCGUAAAAGAUGUAUAUGUAUAGUAAAUAUAUGUGCGUAGAUGUGUAUAUGAUACGUAUAGUCUGUGUUUUUAAAUCUUGUUAAAAGCCUAAUUUAUUGUUGUUUGAGUUCGCGGUUCGAUGAGUGCGUGCUUGUGGGAGUGAGUGAGUGAAUGAGUGCGUCUGAGUGAGUGAGAGAGAGCAGGAGUAAGGCCAGUCACCGUUACAGCACUGCAUUAGAGCUCCACAACAAGGGGGCAGCUUGAUAUUGCACAUGAGGAUGUCUACAGACCAAGCAGGCACUGCACAGCACGGUACUAAUGCUCCGUCUAGAGGGCAGCACGGUACCCAAGGGGUACUAACGCUCCAUAUAGAGGGCAGCACGGUACCCAAGGGGUACUAACGCUCCGUCUAGAGGGCAGCACUGUACCCAAGGGGUACUAACGCUCCAUAUAGAGGGCAGCACUGUACUCAAGGGGUACUAACGCUUCACCUAGAGGGCAGCACGGUACCCAAGGGGUACUAACGCUUCACCUAGAGGGCAGCACGGUACCCAAGGGGUUCUAACGCUCCAUAUAGAGGGCAGCACUGUACCCAAGGGGUACUAACGCUCCAUAUAGAGGGCAGCACGGUACCCAAGGGGUACUAACGCUCCGUCUAGAGGGCAGCACGGUACCCAAGGGGUACUAACGCUUCACCUAGAGGGCAGCACGGUACCCAAGGGGUACUAACGCUCCAUAUAGAGGGCAGCACGGUACCCAAGGGGUACUAACGCUCCAUAUAGAGGGCAGCUCUGUACCCAAGGGGUACUAACGCUCCAUAUAGAGGGCAGCACUGUACCCAAGGGGUACUAACGCUCCAUAUAGAGGGCAGCACGGUACCCAAGGGGUACUAACGCUCCGUCUAGAGGGCAGCACGGUACCCAAGGGGUACUAACGCUCCAUAUAGAGGGCAGCACGGUACCCAAGGGGUACUAACGCUCCAUAUAGAGGGCAGCACGGUACCCAAGGGGUACUAACGCUUCACCUAGAGGGCAGCACGGUACCCAAGGGGUACUAACGCUCCAUAUAGAGGGCAGCACGGUACCCAAAGGGUACUAACGCUCCGUCUAGAGGGCAGCACGGUACCCAAGGGGUACUAACGCUCCAUAUAGAGGACAGCACGGUACCCAAGGGGUACUAACGCUCCGUCUAGAGGGCAGCACGGUACCCAAGGGGUACUAACGCUCCAUAUAGAGGACAGCACGGUACCCAAGGGGUACUAACGCUCCAUAUAGAGGGCAGCACGGUACCCAAGGGGUACUAACGCUUCACCUAGAGGGCAGCACGGUACCCAAGGGGUACUAACGCUCCAUAUAGAGGACAGCACGGUACCCAAGGGGUACUAACGCUCCGUCUAGAGGGCAGCACGGUACCCAAGGGGUACUAACGCUCCGUCUAGAGGGCAGCACGGUACUAACGCUCCGUCUAGAGGACAGCACGGUACCCAAGGGGUACUAACGCUCCAUAUAGAGGGCAGCACGGUACCCAAGGGGUACUAACGCUCCGUCUAGAGGGCAGCACGGUACCCAAGGGGUACUAACGCUCCAUAUAGAGGGCAGCACGGUACCCAAGGGGUUCUAAUGCUCCAUAUAGAGGGCAGCACGGUACCCAAGGGGUACUAACGCUCCGUCUAGAGGGCAGCACGGUACCCAAGGGGUACUAACGCUCCAUAUAGAGGGCAGCACGGUACCCAAGGUGUACUAACGCUUCUAAUGACUAAUGACUUGUACCCUAGAAGAUAUAGCCAUGUGUACCGUGGUGGGUAGACCCUUGUGUACCUUGUACCCUGGUAGGUACACCCGUGUGUACCCUUGUAGGUACAGUCAUUUGUACCAUGCACCGUGGUGGGUACAGCCAUGUGUACCCUGCUAGAUACAGCCAUGUGUUACUUGGUAGGUACACCCAUAUGUACCGUGUACCCUGGUAGGUACACCCAUAUGUACCGUGUACCCUGGUAGAUAAACCUACGUGUACCCGGUAGGUACAGCCAUGUGUGCACCUAAUCCUGUUGUAUCUGAACUAGCUGUACCGCCCUCUUAAGCAUCUAGAACAAAGUGUACCAUCCUGCCUGGCUCUUAAACAGACUGUACCGUUCCGCCUGGUUGUAGAAUCAGAUACGGUACCAUUUUUUCUAGCCUCCCCCCCCCCCCCCAAAAAAAAAAAGGUAGACUCAAUGUACAGUCUGGUUCAAGAAGUAUCCGUACCACGGUUAGUUCUGACUAAAGCAAAUUGUAAGCCUGGCUGUAAUCCUGAACUCUUAUGUGGUACAGCAGUUUGUCUGGUGGUCGCUGUAAGUGAGGUAGUAGAGUGUGUAUAUAUAUAUAUAUAUAUAUAUAUAUAUAUAUAUAUAUAUAUAUAUAUAUAUAUAUAUAUAUAUAUAUAUAUAUAUAUAUAUAUAUAUACACACUCACACUAUAAUGACUAUACACUCUUGUAUAAUGUGAUGGGGUCGUACCCAAGAUAAGCCUUGUUCUGCGUGUAUAUAUAUAUAUAUAUAUAUAUAUAUAUAUAUAUAUAUAUAUAUAUAUAUAUAUAUAUGAAGUUUUAUGCAACUUUACACAUUCUUUUGGAUAUUUUGAUAUCCAUUGUAUUUUUGUUAUGCUCUAUGUGUGCGUGUCUAUGUAUCUUUUGAGAAUAAAAUUAUAUAUUUCUCUUA
rnacentral:lncRNA from 1 species